GUCUUCAGGCUGAGACGCCGACGCAAUUUUAGACAUUAUGGCAUCCUGAACAAAAGAAAGAUAUAAACUCCAUAAUAAUAACUUUUGAAAGAGAAAAUAUCAAGAACAGAGUCAUAAAGGCAACAAAACUGAAAUGGGAUCCUGAACAAAAGAAUGAUAUAACUCUAUAAUAAUAACUUUUGAAAGAGAAAAUAUUAAGAAUAGAGUCAUAAAGGCAACAAAACUGAAAACUCAAAUGUCAAUAACAACACCUUAAAGACAAUUAUUUUGAUGUACACAACAAUUUUUCCCUACAAAUUGCAUUACUUGUUCAUCAUCAAUUUGUUAUACUUUCAGAUAAAGAAGUACUAAUAAUUUUCAACAGUGACAUUUUAUAAAACUUAUGUGUGCAGAUUUAUAAUUCAUCUGGGAGUUUCCAAGAGAAGGAUGGCUAAAAUUGAAUACUGAUGGUGCUAUGAGAGGGAACCCAGGAAAGAGUUCAAUUGGUUACUGUAUACGAGAUGCAUUAGAGGAUAUUAUUUAUGUACAUGAGGAGGAGAUUCAUGAAACAAAUACACAAGUGAGAAAAGAAAACAUUGUCUUAGUUACAUAGCAUAUUUCCAAAAGAUAAAAGCAACCAGGGAUGUCGAGUUUGAACACUUACUAAAAUCCAAUGUCUCCUUUGUCCUUCUUCUAGAAGUUAACGACUAAAGAUAUGUGAACAAUGUAUUGAACUCAACAGUGUUUUUGAUAGCGCGCGGCGACAAAUAGCGACGAGGGCUCGCUUCAGUGAGGCAAGAGGCGCGCAGUGAAGCGCUCGCUUUUUUGAUGUGAGGCGACAAUUUAUCAAUAACAAUAAUAUGUUAAUAAUAAAUAUAUUAAAUUAAUAAUAAAUAGAGCAAUAAAUCAAAUAAAGAAUUUAAAGAAAAUAAAGCAAUAAAUCAAAUCAAUUUUCAGAAUUGUAGAUUAAUUUUUCUUGUUUAAUCUGUGCAGGUGCUUUUCUAAAGAAGAAGAAAAACAGAGCAUAGAAGAAGAAAAACAGAGAAUGGACAGUGCUGGUCACGAAAAACAGAGCACUGGACGGUGCUGGUCGCGAAAAACAGAGCACUGGACAGCUGGUCGCGAAAAACAGAGCACUGGACAGUGCUGGUCGCGAAAAACAGAGCACACAGUGCUGGUCGGGAAAGAGAAAAGAAGAAAGAAGAAGAAGAAAUAAGAAAGAAGAAAGAAAAAAAACAGAGAGUCUGGUCGAGUCGAGAAGGAGAAAAGAAGAAAGAAGAAAGAAGAAAGAAGAAAGAAAGAAAAACAAGUCUGGUCGAAUCGAGAAAGAGAAAAGAAGAAAGAAGAGAGAAGAAAGAAGAAAAAAGAAGUGAAGAACAUACCUGGUUGGUGCUGUCGCAGACGAUGGAAGAAGAAGAAGAUGGAGUGAAAAACCCUAGUUUUGUCGACUGGGGCAACUGAAGAGGCUGCUGUGAUUUAAUUUUUCUGUAUUAUCAAAAUAGCGACGCCCCACGUCGCCACGCGCCUCGCCUCGCCACAGAAGCUGUGGUGGUCGCUAUUCUUGUUCGCACCGCAACAGUGCCCUUUGUGGCGUUAAAGCCUCGCCUCACUACACGGCUUUAGCGCUAUAGCGAGCGCUAUUUACAACC
rnacentral:lncRNA from 1 species